rnacentral:rRNA from 1 species
UGGGGAAUUUUGGACAAUGGGGGAAACCCUGAUCCAGCCAUCCCGCGUGUGCGAUGAAGGCCUUCGGGUUGUAAAGCACUUUUGGCAGGAAAGAAACGUCGUGGGUUAAUACCCCGCGAAACUGACGGUACCUGCAGAAUAAGCACCGGCUAACUACGUGCCAGCAGCCGCGGUAAUACGUAGGGUGCAAGCGUUAAUCGGAAUUACUGGGCGUAAAGCGUGCGCAGGCGGUUCGGAAAGAAAGAUGUGAAAUCCCAGAGCUUAACUUUGGAACUGCAUUUUUAACUACCGGGCUAGAGUGUGUCAGAGGGAGGUGGAAUUCCGCGUGUAGCAGUGAAAUGCGUAGAUAUGCGGAGGAACACCGAUGGCGAAGGCAGCCUCCUGGGAUAACACUGACGCUCAUGCACGAAAGCGUGGGGAGCAAACAGGAUUAGAUACCCUGGUAGUCCACGCCCUAAACGAUGUCAACUAGCUGUUGGGGUCUUCGGACCUUGGUAGCGCAGCUAACGCGUGAAGUUGACCGCCUGGGGAGUACGGUCGCAAGAUUAAAACUUAAAUGAAUUGACGGGGUCAUA